rnacentral:rRNA from 1 species
UCAGGAUGAACGCUGGCGGUCUGCUUAACACAUGCAAGUCGAACGGAAUCCUUAGGGAUUUAGUGGCGGACGGGUGAGUAACACGUAAGAACCUGCCUCUAGGACGGGGACAACAGUUGGAAACGACUGCUAAACCCGGAUGAGCCGAAAGGUAAAAGAUUAAUCGCCUAGAGAGGGGCUUGCGUCUGAGGUGAGGUAAGAGCCCACCAAGGCGACGAUCAGUAGCUGGUCUGAGAGGAUGAUCAGCCACACUGGGACUGAGACACGGCCCAGACUCCUACGGGAGGCAGCAGUGGGGAAUUUUCCGCAAUGGGCGAAAGCCUGACGGAGCAAGACCGCGUGGGGGAGGAAGGUUCUUGGAUUGUCAACCCCUUUUCU